rnacentral:rRNA from 1 species
GACGAACGCUGGCGGCGUGCUUAACACAUGCAAGUCGAACGAAGGGCGAUGGAAGCUUGCUUCUAUCAAUCUUAGUGGCGAACGGGUGAGUAACGCGUAAUCAACCUGCCCUUCAGAGGGGGACAACAGUUGGAAACGACUGCUAAUACCGCAUACGAUCUAACCUCGGCAUCGAGGAUAGAUGAAAGGUGGCCUCUACAUGUAAGCUAUCACUGAAGGAGGGGAUUGCGUCUGAUUAGCUAGUUGGAGGGGUAACGGCCCACCAAGGCGAUGAUCAGUAGCCGGUCUGAGAGGAUGAACGGCCACAUUGGGACUGAGACACGGCCCAGACUCCUACGGGAGGCAGCAGUGGGGAAUCUUCCGCAAUGGACGAAAGUCUGACGGAGCAACGCCGCGUGAGUGAUGACGGCCUUCGGGUUGUAAAGCUCUGUUAAUCGGGACGAAAGGCCUUCUUGCGAAUAGUUAGAAGGAUUGACGGUACCGGAAUAGAAAGCCACGGCUAACUACGUG